UAGAAAUAGAAGAAAAUUAGAAAGAGAAUUAAAGUGCUAUAUUUACUUUCUUGGGUGAGUUAAGGGCUGAAAUUCGCUUAAGAGCGAGUGACUGAUAUUUUUUCCAAGCGCAUCGAUGGCAAAGAACGUCACUUACCGCAUUUGCAGUUCUCCGAAGAUCAACGAGUUCACGUUAAUGGAGGAAAUGGAUGGGGCACCUUGAGCAUGGAGACUAAGGGAACUUAAGUUCCCAGGUCCAUUAUCGUAAUUUGUGGGGAACACGACUAUACAAUUACGAUAUUAAUAUUUAUUUUCCUAUUGUUCGACCGUUCACAAUGAUUUAAGCUUUAAAGAAUGUAAAUUAGGAGGAACAGAAGUUUAUCACAUACGCCCGAAUAUUUAUUUUAAUUUCAAAUCUACCGGUGUAUGUCUUUGUCGUAUGCAGAAUCUUUAACUGGAGAUGACGAGUUAAUUCGUCAAUGAAAAAUGCUUUCCCAUGCAAAACGUGGAAUUUUAAAAACUACACAGGCAACUAAAAGUUUCAUCGUCGUUUAUUUUUAUAACAAGCUAAAUCUCUAUGUUUCCUACCAUUUAGUAUCCGUGUAAGCUGCAAGUUAUGAUAUUUUGCAUUUUUCGUCCUCUUUACGUUUUCCAUAACACGUGUAGCGGGUAUUCUCGAUAGAUGAUCUUCCUGGUUAAAAGCUUAAGAAAGUGGAUAUAAAUUAUGAACAUACACUAAACGACUCGUAUCAAACCUACAUGACAAAUCAUUAUCAGUCAUUAAUUACAAAUUCAAUAAGAAGUUCGGAAAAAUGACAAGGUAAUAAACUGUAUUUAUAGAUACAUUUUCUUCUCUUUUAACUCAACGUCGAUCGUUACAGAAGAUCCUCGAUG